GUCCACGCCCUAAACGAUGUACACUAGUUGUUGUGAGACUUGAUCUUGCAGUAAUGCAGUUAACACAUUAAGUGUACCGCCUGGGGAGUACGGUCGCAAGAUUAAAACUCAAAGGAAUAGACGGGGACCCGCACAAGCGGUGGAGCAUGUGGUUUAAUUCGACGAUACACGAAGAACCUUACCUGGACUUGACAUAGUAAGAACUUUCUAGAGAUAGAUUGGUGUCUGCUUGCAGAAACUUAUAUACAGGUGCUGCACGGCUGUCGU
rnacentral:rRNA from 1 species